CUUUCGGUGUGUCGUUACCUCGUGCAGGUCGAGCGCGCCCCCGCGGCGCGCGUCCCGCAUCAGACCUCUAAUCGA
rnacentral:rRNA from 1 species